rnacentral:piRNA from 1 species
UCAUAUCACAUUUAUGACAAA